rnacentral:rRNA from 1 species
UACCAGCACCCCGAGUGGUCGGGACGAUUAUUGGGCCUAAAGCAUCCGUAGCCGGUUCUACAAGUCUUCCGUUAAAUCCACCUGCUUAACAGAUGGGCUGCGGAGGAUACUAUGGAGCUAGGAGGCGGGAGAGGCAAGCGGUACUUAGUGGGUAGGGGUAAAAUCCGUUGAUCCAUUGAAGACCACCAGUGGCGAAGGCGGCUUGCCAGAACGCACUCGACGGUGAGGG